GUCCCUGUAGCGCAAUGGAUGGUGCAUUGAACUUCUAACCCAAAGUUCGUGGGUUCGAAUCCCACCUGGGAUG